rfam:Capsicum annuum cultivar Zunla-1 unplaced genomic scaffold scaffold4217, whole genome shotgun sequence
AGGAGCCGUGUGAGAUGAAAGUCUCAUGCACAGUUUUGAAUGAGAGAAAGAAGUGAGGAAUCCUCUUUUCAAAUCUGAC